UAGGGAAUCUUCGGCAAUGGACGAAAGUCUGACCGAGCAACGCCGCGUGAAUGAUGAAGGCCUUCGGGUUGUAAAAUUCUGUUAUAAGGGAAGAAAGACACGAGUAGGAAAUGGCUCGUGAGUGACGGUACCUUAUGAGAAAGCCACGGCUAACUACGUGCCAGCAGCCGCGGUAAUACGUAGGUGGCAAGCGUUAUCCGGAAUUAUUGGGCGUAAAGGGUGCGUAGGCGGUCAAUUAAGUCUGAGGUGAAAGAUCACAGCUCAACUGUGGUAUGCCUUGGAAACUGAUAGACUAGUGUGCAGGAGAGGGCAAUGGAAUUCCAUGUGUAGCGGUAAAAUGCGUAGAUAUAUGGAGGAACACCAGUGGCGAAGGCGGUUGCCUGGCCUGUAACAGACGCUGAAGCACGAAAGCGUGGGGAGCGAAUA
rnacentral:rRNA from 1 species